rnacentral:rRNA from 1 species
UACAGAGGUCUCAAGCGUUGUUCGGAUUCAUUGGGCGUAAAGGGUGCGUAGGCGGCGCGGUAAGUCGGGUGUGAAAUCUUGGAGCUUAACUCCGAAACUGCAUUCGAUACUGCCGUGCUUGAGGACUGGAGAGGAGACUGGAAUUUACGGGUGUAAGCGGUGAAAUGCGUAGAUAUCGUAAGGAAGACCAGUGGCGAAGGCGGGUCUCUGGACAGUUCCUGACGCUGAGGCACGAAGGCCAGGGGAGCAAACGGG